rnacentral:rRNA from 1 species
UGGGGAAUAUUGGACAAUGGGCGAAAGCCUGAUCCAGCCAUGCCGCGUGUGUGAAGAAGGUCUUCGGAUUGUAAAGCACUUUAAGUUGGGAGGAAGGGCAGUAAGCGAAUACCUUGCUGUUUUGACGUUACCGACAGAAUAAGCACCGGCUAACUCUGUGCCAGCAGCCGCGGUAAUACAGAGGGUGCAAGCGUUAAUCGGAAUUACUGGGCGUAAAGCGCGCGUAGGUGGUUCGUUAAGUUGAAUGUGAAAGCCCCGGGCUCAACCUGGGAACUGCAUCCAAAACUGGCGAGCUAGAGUAGGGCAGAGGGGGGUGGAAUUUCCUGUGUAGCGGUGAAAUGCGUAGAUAUAGGAAGGAACACCAGUGGCGAAGGCGACCACCUGGGCUCAUACUGACACUGAGGUGCGAAAGCGUGGGGAGCAAACAGG